UUAGCCCGUUAAUUGAUGAAAAAAGGUAGUUAGCCAAGAUACACAUGCGAUUACCCCUGCGAUGUUCUAUAAUGUGUUCAACGAUAUGUGCAAAAUUCCACAGCCCGACAUUUGUACCUCUAGCACUGGGCCACAAUGUUUAUAACCCGGGAUAUAAUACUCACAGUGGUUUUAUUAUACUUAUACUUUCAACUCAACGAAGAAGUCCGUUCGGUGAACUUGUCUGACCUCUCGACCGGCCAACGACGUAGACGCUGAGGUACGCGUGAAUUUUUUAAUAGGCCAAGAGAGCUACGAAACUCCACGGACAACACAAACUCCUGGUCAGUAUCUAGCAACGGUCAAACAGUGUAGAGACUUGGAACCGCAUACAUCAAGGGUGAAAUGGAAUUGCAGCAUCUGGCAGAUGUGACAUCAAGGAAAAUCGUAAUUUAUCCAAAUUGAAGGACCCACCAGCCGACACACACAACAUGUAUGGAUUCACCUCGUUAAUCUAUGAUGACCAUAAUGGAUCAGCUGACGACCGACUAAUAGAACGAAAAUAUUAAUGUAAAAAUACUGGAAGCAUCCGGGUUUAUUCUCCCAAAGUGAGUUCCGUUCGUUGAAUCAUUAUUCGUAAGGCUGAGCCAACGAAUAAACAUGAGAAAAUUAUUAACCCGACAAAUGCAUGAAAAACGAAAAAAGAAAAAACCAAAGUGCCUCUAUAAUCAUAAAAAAAUGGCGUACAGUAAUUUUCGAGUUAAUAUCUUAAUUUGAAUGUUAAAUGAACGUCAUUAAAGAGUAAAUAACGAACAAAAAUUGUGUAUAUGAGAUUUUUAGUGGGAUAUAUUAAAGG